CCUUCGUUGGUGUAGUGGUCAGCACGCUGGGCGCGUAUUCCAGAGGUCCGUGGUUCGAGUCCCGGCGAAGGC
rnacentral:tRNA from 1 species